GGGAUUAGUGGCGGACGGGUGAGUAACACGUGGGAACGUGCCUUUUGGUUCGGAACAACUCAGGGAAACUUGAGCUAAUACCGAAUGUGCCCUUCGGGGAAAGAUUUAUCGCCAUUAGAGCGGCCCGCGUCUGAUUAGCUUGUUGGUGAGGUAAAGGCUCACCAAGGCUACGAUCAGUAGCUGGUCUGAGAGGAUGAUCAGCCACAUUGGGACUGAGACACGGCCCAA
rnacentral:rRNA from 1 species